rnacentral:rRNA from 1 species
UGGAGGAAAGUAGGGGAUCGAAAGACCUUAUGCUUUUGGAGCGGCCGAUGUCUGAUUAGCUAGUUGGUAAGGUAAUGGCUUACCAAGGCAACGAUCAGUAGUUGGUCUGAGAGGACGACCAGCCACACUGGGACUGAGACACGGCCCAGACUCCUACGGGAGGCAGCAGUGGGGAAUUUUGGACAAUGGGCGCAAGCCUGAUCCAGCAAUGCCGCGUGAGUGAAGAAGGCCUUCGGGUUGUAAAGCUCUUUCAGUUGAGAAGAAAAGAUUGUGACUAAUAAUUGCAAUUCAUGACGGUAUCAACAGAAGAAGCACCGGCUAACUACGUGCCAGCAGCCGCGGUAAUACGUAGGGUGCGAGCGUUAAUCGGAAUUACUGGGCGUAAAGGGUGCGCAGGCGGUUCUGUAAGUCAGAUGUGAAAUCCCCGGGCUUAACCUGGGAACUGCGUUUGAAACUACAAGGCUAGG